rnacentral:rRNA from 1 species
UAGGGAAUCUUCGGCAAUGGACGGAAUUNUGGACCGAGCAACCNCACGUGAGUGAAGAAGGUUUUCGGAUCGUAAAGCUCUGUUGUAAGAGAAGAACGAGUGUGAGAGUGGAAAGUUCACACUGUGACGGUAUCUUACCAGAAAGGGACGGCUAACUACGUGCCAGCAGCCGCGGUAAUACGUAGGUCCCGAGCGUUGUCCGGAUUUAUUGGGCGUAAAGCGAGCGCAGGCGGUUAGAUAAGUCUGAAGUUAAAGGCUGUGGCUUAACCAUAGUAGGCUUUGGAAACUGUUUAACUUGAGUGCAAGAGGGGAGAGUGGAAUUCCAUGUGUAGCGGUGAAAUGCGUAGAUAUAUGGAGGAACACCGGUGGCGAAAGNGGCUCUCUGGCUUGUAACUGACGCUGAGGCUCGAAAGCGUGGGGGAGCAAACAGGAUUAGAUACCCUGGUAGUCCACGCUGUAAACGAUGAGUGCUAGGUGUUAGACCCUUUCCGGGGUUUAGUGCCGUGGCUAACGCAUUAAGCACUCCGCCUGGGGAGUACGACCGCAAGGUUG